rnacentral:lncRNA from 1 species
CAUCAAGGAUCGGCGCUUAGCCCUCUCUUGUUUGCCUUGGUGAUGGAUGCUCUAACUCGACAAAUUCAACGGUAUGUGCCUUGGUGUGAGCUAUUUGCUGGUGACAUAGUCUUGAUAGACGAGACGAGGGUCGGUGUUAAUGAGAGGCUAGAGUUAUGGAGACAGACUCUCGAGUCUAAGGCAGUGUUUUUGAUAGCGCGCGGCGACAAAUAGCGACGAGGGCUCGCUUCAGUGAGGCGAGA